rnacentral:rRNA from 1 species
GAUGAACGCUGGCGGCGUGCCUAAUACAUGCAAGUCGAGCGAACAGAUGAGGAGCUUGCUCCUCUGACGUUAGCGGCGGACGGGUGAGUAACACGUGGAUAACCUACCUAUAAGACUGGGAUAACUUCGGGAAACCGGAGCUAAUACCGGAUAAUAUAUUGAACCGCAUGGUUCAAUAGUGAAAGACGGUUUUGCUGUCACUUAUAGAUGGAUCCGCGCCGCAUUAGCUAGUUGGUAAGGUAACGGCUUACCAAGGCGACGAUGCGUAGCCGACCUGAGAGGGUGAUCGGCCACAUUGGAACUGAGACACGGUCCAGACUCCUACGGGAGGCAGCAGUAGGGAAUCUUCCGCAAUGGGCGAAAGCCUGACGGAGCAACGCCGCGUGAGUGAUGAAGGUCUUCGGAUCGUAAAACUCUGUUAUUAGGGAAGAACAAAUGUGUAAGUAACUAUGCACGUCUUGACGGUACCUAAUCAGAAAGCCACGGCUAACUACGUG